CAACCUACCUAUCAGAGGGGAAUAACCCGGCGAAAGUCGGACUAAUACCGCAUAAAACAGGGGCACCGCAUGGUGAUAUUUGUUAAAGAAAUUCGCUGAUAGAUGGGCAUGCGUUCCAUUAGGUAGUUGGUGAGGUAACGGCUCACCAAGCCGACGAUGGAUAGGGGAACUGAGAGGUUGGUCCCCCACACCGGUACUGAGACACGGACCAGACUCCUACGGGAGGCAGCAGUGAGGAAUAUUGGUCAAUGGGCGAGAGCCUGAACCAGCCAAGUCGCGUGAAGGAAGAAGGAUCUAUGGUUCGUAAACUUCUUUUGCAGGGGAAUAUAGUGCAGGACGUGUCCUGUUUUGUAUGUACCCUGAGAAUAAGGAUCGGCUUACUCCGUGCCAGCAGCCGCGGUAAUACGGAGGAUCCGAGCGUUAUCCGGAUUUAUUGGGUUUAAAGGGUGCGUAGGUGGUUUGAUAAGUCAGCGGUGAAAGUUUGCAGCUUAACUGUAAAAAUGCCGUUGAAACUGUCGGACUUGAGUGUAAAUGAGGUAGGCGGAAUGCGUGGUGUAGCGGUGAAAUGCAUAGAUAUCACGAAGAACUCCGAUUG
rnacentral:rRNA from 1 species